AAAUGAAUAGACGGGGGCCCGCACAAGCGGUGGAGUAUGUGGUUUAAUUCGAUGCAACGCGAAGAACCUUACCUGGGUUUGACAUCCCGCGAAUCCUCCCGAAAAGGAGGAGUGCCCUUCGGGGAGCGCGGUGACAGGUGCUGCAUGGCUGUCGUCAGCUCGUGCCGUGAGGUGUUGGGUUAAGUCCCGCAACGAGCGCAACCCUUGUCUUUAGUUGCCAGCGAGUAAUGUCGGGCACUCUAGAGAGACCGCCUCGGUCAACGGGGAGGAAGGUGGGGACGACGUCAAGUCAUCAUGGCCCUUACGCCCAGGGCUACACACGUACUACAAUGGUGGGUACAAUGGGCUGCGAGACCGCAAGGUGGAGCCAAUCCCAAAAAACCCAUCCCAGUCCGGAUCGGGGUCUGCAACUCGACCCCGUGAAGUCGGAAUCGCUAGUAAUCGGAGAUCAGCAUGCUCCGGUGAAUACGUUCCCGGGCCUUGUACACACCGCCCGU
rnacentral:rRNA from 1 species